rnacentral:rRNA from 1 species
GACGUAGGGCGCGAGCGUUGUCCGGAUUUAUUGGGCGUAAAGAGCUCGUAGGCGGCUUGUCGCGUCGACCGUGAAACCUCACAGCUCAACUGUGAGCCUGCGGUCGAUACGGGCAGGCUAGAGUUCGGUAGGGGAGACUGGAAUUCCUGGUGUAGCGGUGAAAUGCGCAGAUAUCAGGAGGAACACCAGUGGCGAAGGCGGCUCACUGGACCGGUACUGACGCUGAGGCGCGAAAGCGUGGGGAGCAAACAGG